rnacentral:rRNA from 1 species
UACGUAGGGUGCAAGCGUUGUCCGGAAUUAUUGGGCGUAAAAGAGCUCGUAGGCGGUCUGUCGCGUCGGCUGUGAAAACCCGGGGCUCAACCCCGGGCCUGCAGUCGAUACGGGCAGACUAGAGUGCGGUAGGGGAGACUGGAAUUCCUGGUGUAGCGGUGAAAUGCGCAGAUAUCAGGAGGAACACCGGUGGCGAAGGCGGGACUCUGGGCCGAUACUGACGCUGAGGAGCGAAAGCGUGGGGAGCAAACAGG